UAUGUAUACCUAUGGCAGAUUCAUGUUGAUGUGUGGCAGAAACAACACAAUAUUGUAAAGCAAUUAUCCUCUAAUUAAAAGUAAAUUAAAAAUUGAACAUGACAGUGAUCAAGGUAGCCAGAGAGGUUCCUGUCUUUAACAGACAGGGUACAAGCGUUUUGGGGGUUGGGAGUCAGGAUCCCAUGAAUUUGCUGUUCUGUCACUAAGUCGAGUCUGAUUCUUUGUGACCACAUGGACUGCAGCACGCCAGGCUUCCCUGUCCUUCACUAACGAUCUCAUACUCAUGUCCAUUGAGUCAGUGAUGCCGUCCAACCAUCUCAUCCUCUGUUGCCCCCUUCUCCUCUUGCUUUCAAUAUUUCCCAUGCAUUGGGCUUGAGAUAUGUUUGAAUCAAUUUCUUUCUCAGCUGUGACUUUAUUUACCUGCCAAGUAAAAAGAGGAAAAGACUUCUUUUUCUUUUUUAUAACCCAUGGAUCAUUGUAGAUUUAUGAGAUAAUGUCUGAGCAGAAUUUGAGCUUCUUAGAAGAAAAAUGUUCUAUCAAUAUGAGGGAGUGUAUUUAUAAAUCACUUCCUUCGACUGAUUUUUUUCCAGUCUCGGUGGCCAGGAAGACAGUAAGGUCUUCAGUUAGGGAUCAUUCCUGGUGGACUGGAUGGAGCCACGUAUUUAAAAUAGAAGAGGGCGGAGCUGCAGCAGACCAAAACCCCACAACCCUGGGCCCAGUAAUAGUUAGUGCUUGCUGCACUGUUACCGUUACUUUCUUCUCAGGCAAGCAAACAAUGUUUAUGAAGCACAUAGCUGUCAUCGCUGUCAUGAUGCUGUUUUGGGACAAGUGAUCAAAUCCAGAGAAAAUGUGUUACUAAGAGUUUGCGUUCACUGGUUCUGCAAGGAGAGGGCCAGACUUCUUUCUAUCAAUGGAGUCAGGUUGGAGAGGAAGCAGACCCCAGUCCAUGAGAGCCUGCUGCCCUCCAGCACUUCAAGACCCAGUCUCCGGUCCCAGAAAGUCAUUUGUGGAAGUGGAUGCCAGAGGGUCAAUGAUCUGUAUGGCGAUGACCACCCUAGGAACCAUCCACAGUGACCUGGGGCCUCCUCUUGGCCACUGACCCAACAAGAACCCAGUCCCUGACUGAAGCCGAAAACAACGGACCAGGAACCCAGAGAGCCUUCUUACCCAGCAGCGGUGUUGAGCCUGCUCGGAGUCACGUGAAGUGUGAACCGUUCUGGUUCGGGAAGAUCGUGUCGUUUCCCCAGUUCCUCUCAGACAUUCCUUGAUGGCAGGGACACUCACAUCCCUUGUUCUGCAUUGUGCAGUUCAUGCUAAGCUUAGUAAACGGCUACAUGCUGACCCUCGCCAGGGGAGGAUUGCAGUGACUGAUGGCGAGGGGAUCUCUAUGCCUGGACCUGGAGGGAUUGCCGAAGAAGAGGGUGUCUUGUGACCUACGUUUCCUGGGAAGCCACAGCUGAACGGACAACGGGACUUGGGACCUUGACGUCCACUGAGCUCCUGGCCCACAGUGCCAUCUGGGCUUCACAUGCAGUCCCUCCUGUAACUGACUGAUUACUGUUCAGAGCAGAACAGCUCCCAUUUUACACCAAAGAAACCCAGAUCAGAGAGGCAAAGUAACCUGCCCAAGUUCACACAGCUAAUGAAUGGGGUUUGAUCUGAGGGUCGUGACUUCUAAGUUUGUAUUUUUUUCCUACACCCUACUCUGCAGACACAGAUGCACAGCCGAGGAAAACAGGACCUGGUGGGUAGGCUGUUUCUCCACCGGGAGAGAGUUCGGGUGGCCACAGAGGUCUCAGACACUGUCUGCUGCCCAUCCUGGGGACACACAGCUCCAUACUGGGGCCAAGCUCUCAGCAAGAGAUGGCCCUGAGAAGGGAGCCGCUGAGGAAUGUCCCCGAGGGGCCACUGGGGAUGGCAGCGGGGGAGAGACAGAGGUCCACAUGGCAGAGAGAGUGUGUGGAAGGCAGGAAGGUGGUAGG